GUAUUUGUUGUAGCUGCCCAGAGCGGUCAGUACUCCCUGACACACGGCGAAGGAGAAGAACACUUGAGUCCCUGCAUCACGCCAUAUCUACAGUGGAGUGGAUGAAAACACUGUUAACAACAGUUGAUGAUGAGCGUGAGUUCUUACACCUGGAUCAGUGAUCCUGCUGAAGUCAGGAGUGAGGUAAUAUCUCAGUCCCUCGCCAGCUCCUGGGAGUGUCACUCCACGGAUAAAAAGGAUCAACAGCAUCAGAACUCCUCUUCCGGUGACCUGCCCUUCAGGAAAGGGUCCAUUUCACUCCUGGAUGUAUUAAAACACAAGCAAGUAAGUGGAAGUUAGUUGAAAUCAAAUAAUAAUUUAUACCAAUGCUUCUUAAUUGUUUUAACUUUGGAUAGGUGAUCAAUCAAUGUAGUUUUAUUUUCUAAAUAGUCUCACACGGACAAAUUUAAAUGAGUGUUAAUAUCACCAUGAGACAGGGCCAAGCAAGCUGUUCCCCCGUUUCUUUAUGCUAAGCUAAACCGGCUGCUGGCUGUUAGCUUUAUAAUUACCGUAUGAGAGUGGUUUUCAACUUCUCAUCUAACUCUCAGCAGAAAGGCAAAUUAGCGUAUCUCCUGAAAUAUCUGACUAUUAUUUGAAUAUGGCAUUUUUCUACCAUUUGACACCCCACUGAUAAGUUAUUUUGAUUUAUUGGGUAUACUUUUCACCCUCAAACAGUCCCAAAUAAGCAAUAAACAGAUG